rnacentral:rRNA from 1 species
GACGAACGCUGGCGGCGUGCUUAACACAUGCAAGUCGAACGGAAAGGCCCUGCUUGCCGGGUACUCGAGUGGCGAACGGGUGAGUAACACGUGGGUGAUCUGCCCUGCACUUCGGGAUAAGCCUGGGAAACUGGGUCUAAUACCGGAUAGGAGCCAUUUUUAGUGUGAUGGUUGGAAAGUUUUUUUCGGUGUAGGAUGAGCUCGCGGCCUAUCAGCUUGUUGGUGGGGUAAUGGCCUACCAAGGCGGCGACGGGUAGCCGGCCUGAGAGGGUGGACGGCCACAUUGGGACUGAGAUACGGCCCAGACUCCUACGGGAGGCAGCAGUGGGGAAUAUUGCACAAUGGGCGCAAGCCUGAUGCAGCGACGCCGCGUGGGGGAUGACGGCCUUCGGGUUGUAAACUCCUUUCGCUAGGGACGAAGCUUUUUGUGACGGUACCUAGAUAAGAAGCACCGGCUAACUACGU